CUGCCCGGGCCGGCAGCGCGGAGCCCGCAGCGCGGCCAUGGCCGAGCGCCGCGCCUUCGCCCAGAAGAUCAGCAGGACCGUGGCAGCUGAGGUCAGGAAGCAGAUCUCAGGCCAGUAUGGAGGCUCCCCACAGCUCCUCAAGAACCUCAACAUCGGAGGCAGCGUCUCUCACCACACCACUGUGCCUCUCACAGAAGCUGUGGAGCCCGUGGACCUGGAGGAAUAUCUGCACACCCACCCUCUGGCCGUGGAGUCGGGGCCCCUGCGGGACCUGCUGGAGUUUCCCCACGAUGACAUCGAGGUGGUUUACGCGCCCCGCGAGUGCCGCACGCUCGUGUCGGCCGUGCCCGAGGAGAGCGAGAUGGAUCCUCACGUGAGGGACUGUGUCCGGAGUUACACGGAGGACUGGGCGAUCGUCAACAGAAAGUACCACAAGCUGGGAACUGGGUUCAAUCCCAACACCUUGGACAAACAGAAGGAGAGGCAAAAAGGGCUCCCCAAACAGGUCUUCGAGUCCGACGAAGCUCCGGAUGGCAACAGCUACCAGGAUGAACAAGAUGACCUCAAGCGCCGCUCAAUGUCGAUCGACGACACUCCCCGGGGCAGCUGGGCCUGCAGCAUCUUCGACCUGAAGAACUCCCUGCCCGAUGCCCUGCUCCCAAACCUGCUGGACAGAACCCCAAACGAGGAGAUUGACCACCACAACGAGGACCAGAGGAAGUCCAGCAGGCAUAAGGAGCUGUUUGCACUACACCCAGCACCAGAUGAGGAGGAGCCCAUAGAGAGACUCAGUGUCCCUGAAGUACCCAAAGAACACUUUGGCCAAAGACUCCUGGUGAAGUGUUUGUCCCUGAAAUUUGAAAUAGAAAUCGAGCCCAUUUUUGCAAGUUUGGCUUUGUAUGAUGUUAAAGAAAAAAAGAAGAUUUCAGAGAAUUUCUACUUUGAUUUAAACUCUGAGCAAAUGAAGGGAAUGCUUCGGCCUCAUGUCCCUCCUGCUGCUAUUUCCACCCUGGCCAGAUCUGCCAUCUUUUCUAUCACCUACCCAUCCCAAGAUGUCUUUCUAGUCAUAAAGCUGGAAAAAGUUUUACAGCAGGGAGAUAUUGGGGAGUGUGCAGAGCCUUAUAUGAUUUUUAAGGAAUCUGAUGCAGCAAAGAACAAGGAGAAGUUGGAAAAACUGAAAGGCCAGGCAGAGCAGUUUUGCCAAAGACUGGGGAAGUACCGGAUGCCUUUUGCCUGGACAGCCAUUCACCUCAUGAACAUUGUGAGCAGUGCUGGCAGCUUGGAGAGGGAUUCCACAGAAGUUGAAGUUGGCACAGGAGAACGUAAGGGGUCAUGGUCGGAGAGGAGGAAUUCCAGCAUCGUGGGGAGGCGUUCCCUGGAGAGGACCACGAGUGGGGACGAGGCUUGCAACCUGAGCAGCUUCAGACCAGCCACCCUGACAGUCACCAACUUCUUCAAGCAGGAGGGGGAUCGCCUGAGCGAUGAGGACCUGUACAAGUUCCUGGCUGACAUGAGACGUCCCUCGUCGGUGCUGCGCAGGCUCAGACCCAUCACAGCUCAGCUGAAGAUAGACAUAUCUCCAGCUCCAGAGAACCCCCACUACUGCCUGACCCCAGAGCUGCUGCAAGUCAAGCUUUACCCAGACAGCAGAGUCAGACCUACCAGAGAAAUCCUGGAGUUCCCUGCCAGGGAUGUCUAUGUCCCAAACACCACAUACAGGAAUCUCCUUUAUGUGUACCCACAGAGCCUUAACUUCGCCAACCGCCAGGGAUCUGCCAGGAACAUCACAGUGAAAGUGCAGUUCAUGUAUGGAGAGGAUCCCAGCAAUGCCAUGCCGGUCAUCUUUGGCAAAUCCAGCUGUCCUGAGUUUUCUAAAGAAGCGUACACAGCUGUGGUGUAUCACAACAGAUCUCCUGAUUUUCACGAGGAAAUCAAGAUCAAGCUUCCAGCCACUUUGACAGACCACCACCACCUGCUUUUUACUUUCUACCACGUCAGUUGCCAGCAAAAACAAAACACCCCCUUGGAGACUCCAGUUGGCUACACCUGGAUCCCCAUGCUUCAGAAUGGCCGGUUAAAGACAGGUCAGUUCUGUCUUCCUGUGUCCUUGGAAAAGCCACCACAGGCUUAUUCAGUGCUUUCUCCAGAGGUUCCCCUCCCUGGGAUGAAGUGGGUGGAUAACCACAAAGGGGUUUUCAAUGUGGAAGUUGUUGCUGUGUCAUCCCUGCACACUCAGGACCCUUACCUCGACAAGUUCUUUGCACUUGUCCAUGCUCUGGAUGAGCACAUGUUCCCUGUGCGAAUAGGAGACAUGAGAAUUAUGGAAAACAACUUGGAAAAUGAACUGAAGAGCAGCAUUUCAGCUUUAAAUUCCUCUCAACUGGAGCCGGUAGUGCGAUUUCUUCAUCUCCUGCUUGACAAACUGAUCCUUCUGGUAGUAAGACCUCCUGUCAUUGCAGGCCAAAUAGUUAACCUGGGCCAGGCAUCUUUUGAAGCGAUGGCAUCGAUCAUAAACAGACUUCACAAGAACUUGGAUGGGAACCAGGACCAGCAUGGCAGGAACAGCCUUCUUGCUUCCUAUAUUUAUUAUGUUUUUCGCCUCCCCAACACCUAUCCCAACUCACCAUCACCAGGUCCCGGCGGCCUGGGUGGCUCCGUGCACUACGCCACCAUGGCCCGGUCGGCCGUGCGCCCCGCCAGCCUCAACCUGAACCGCUCGCGCAGCCUCAGCAACAGCAACCCCGACAUCUCCGGCACCCCCACCUCGCCCGACGACGAGGUGCGCUCCAUCAUCGGCGCCAAGGGCUUGGACCGCUCCAAUUCCUGGGUAAACACUGGUGGUCCAAAAGCAGCCCCAUGGGGAUCCAACCCCAGCCCAAGUGCAGAAUCAACACAGGUGGUGUCUUCGGCUACGGAUCGAAGUUGUAAUCGUAUGUCUUCGCACACUGAGACGUCAAGUUUCUUACAAACAUUAACAGGACGAUUACCAACCAAAAAGCUUUUCCACGAGGAGCUGGCCCUGCAGUGGGUUGUGUGCAGCGGGAGCGUGCGGGAGGCGGCCCUGCAGCAGGCCUGGUUCUUCUUCGAGCUGAUGGUGAAGAGCAUGGUGCAUCAUCUGUAUUUUGCUGACAAACUGGACACGGCGAGGAAGAAUCGUUUCCCGGAGCGCUUCAUGGAUGACGUGACUGCACUGGUCAGCACAAUCGCUGGUGAUAUAGUCUCCCGCUUCCAGAAGGACACGGAAAUGGUGGAGCGGCUCAACACCAGCCUCGCGUUUUUCCUCAAUGAUUUGUUGUCCAUCAUGGACAGAGGAUUUGUGUUUCAUCUUAUUAAGACCUGCUACAAACAGGUUUCUUCAAAGCUGUAUAGCUUAUCAAAUCCAAGCAACCUGGCAUCUCUGAGGCUGGACUUCCUGCGCAUCAUUUGCAGCCAUGAGCACUAUGUCACCUUGAAUUUACCCUGCAGCUUGCUCACACCACCUGCAUCCCCAUCACCAUCUGUGUCUUCAGCCACUUCCCAGAGUUCUGGGUUCUCCACAAAUGUCCAAGACCAGAAGAUUGCAAACAUGUUUGAGUUGUCUGUGCCUUUCCGCCAGCAGCAUUACCUGGCCGGGCUGGUGCUCACAGAGCUGGCUGUCAUUCUAGAUCCUGAUGCAGAAGGUUUGUUUGGAUUGCAUAAGAAGGUCAUCAACAUGGUACACAACCUGCUGUCCAGCCACGACUCGGACCCGCGGUACGCUGACCCCCAGGUAAAGGCCCGGGUGGCAAUGCUGUAUCUACCUCUGAUUGGCGUGAUCAUGGAAACUGUGCCUCAGCUCUAUGACUUCACAGAGAGUCACAACCAGCGGGGGAGGCCGAGCUGUGUCACCGUGGACGAUUACGAGAGCGAGGGUGGCAGCAUGAUCAGCCAGACUGUGGCCAUGGCCAUUGCAGGGACUUCUGUCCCCCAGCUCACCAGGCCCAGCAGUUUUCUACUCCCUUCUUCGAGUGGCAGGCAGCACUCCACCUUCUCAACAGAGUCCAGCCGCAGCCUCCUCAUCUGCCUGCUCUGGGUGCUGAAGAAUGCAGAUGAGAGUGUCCUGCAGAAAUGGUUCACUGACCUGUCAGUGCUGCAGCUCAACCGCCUGCUGGACCUGCUCUAUCUCUGUGUGUCCUGCUUUGAAUACAAGGGCAAGAAAGUGUUUGAAAGAAUGAACAGUCUGACGUUUAAGAAGUCAAAAGACAUGAGAGCAAAACUUGAAGAAGCCAUUUUGGGCAGCAUAGGAGCGAGGCAGGAAAUGGUCCGAAGAAGUAGAGGACAACUGGAGAGGAGCCCUUCUGGGAGUGCCUUUGGAAGUCAGGAGAAUCUGAGAUGGAGAAAGGAUAUGACUCACUGGCGGCAGAACACAGAGAAGCUUGACAAAAGCCACAAACCAGCCAGAUCAAGAGCAGAGAUAGAACAUGAGGCACUCAUCGAUGGGAAUCUUGCAACAGAAGCCAACCUGAUAAUUUUGGAUACUCUAGAGAUAGUUGUACAGACGGUGUCCGUGACCGAGUCCAAGGAGAGCAUCCUGGGUGGGGUGCUCAAAGUGCUGCUGCACAGCAUGGCCUGCAACCAAAGUGCCCUUUACCUCCAGCACUGCUUUGCCACACAGAGAGCUUUGGUGUCAAAGUUCCCUGAGCUGCUGUUUGAGGAGGAGACAGAGCAAUGUGCAGACCUGUGCCUGAGGCUCCUGAGGCACUGCAGCAGCAGCAUUGGCACCAUCAGGUCCCACGCCAGUGCCUCCCUGUACCUCCUCAUGAGGCAGAACUUCGAGAUUGGCAACAACUUUGCCAGAGUGAAGAUGCAGGUGACCAUGUCCCUCUCAUCCCUGGUGGGGACAUCCCAGAACUUCAAUGAAGAAUUUCUGCGGCGUUCCCUCAAGACUAUUCUGACAUACGCUGAAGAAGAUCUGGAGCUUAGGGAGACAACAUUUCCUGACCAGGUCCAGGAUUUAGUGUUCAACCUCCAUAUGAUCCUGUCAGACACAGUUAAAAUGAAGGAGCACCAGGAAGAUCCAGAAAUGCUGAUUGACCUGAUGUACAGGAUUGCCAAGGGCUACCAGAAUUCCCCCGACCUGCGGCUGACGUGGCUGCAGAACAUGGCAGGGAAACAUUCUGAGAGGAGCAACCAUGCAGAGUCUGCCCAGUGCCUGGUGCACUCUGCAGCCCUGGUGGCUGAGUACCUGAGCAUGCUGGAGGACAGGAAAUACCUCCCUGUGGGCUGUGUCACGUUCCAGAACAUAUCUUCCAAUGUUUUGGAAGAAUCAGCAGUUUCUGAUGAUGUUGUGUCCCCAGAUGAAGAAGGAAUCUGUUCUGGGAAGUAUUUCACAGAAGCUGGUCUGGUGGGAUUGCUGGAACAGGCUGCAGCAUCUUUCUCCAUGGCUGGCAUGUAUGAAGCAGUCAAUGAGGUUUACAAAGUCCUUAUUCCUAUUCAUGAAGCCAACAGAGAUGCCAAGAAGUUGUCUGCUAUUCAUGGUAAACUGCAGGAAGCAUUCAGCAAGAUUGUUCACCAGAGUACUGGCUGGGAGGAUGGAAAGAGGAUGUUUGGCACCUACUUCCGAGUUGGUUUUUAUGGAACUAAGUUUGGAGACCUGGAUGAGCAGGAGUUUGUGUACAAGGAGCCUGCCAUAACCAAGCUGGCUGAGAUCUCCCAUCGGCUGGAGGGGUUUUAUGGAGAACGCUUUGGGGAAGAUGUGCUGGAGGUGAUCAAGGACUCAAACCCUGUGGACAAAUGUAAACUUGAUCCCAACAAGGCCUACAUCCAGAUCACCUAUGUGGAGCCCUACUUUGACACAUAUGAGAUGAAGGACAGGAUCACCUACUUUGACAAGAACUACAACCUGCGGCGCUUCAUGUACUGCACGCCCUUCACGCUGGACGGCCGCGCCCACGGCGACCUGCACGAGCAGUUCAAGCGCAAGACCAUCCUCACCACCUCCCACGCCUUCCCCUACAUCAAAACCAGGAUCAAUGUCAUCCACAAGGAGGAGAUCAUUCUGACCCCCAUCGAAGUUGCCAUCGAGGACAUGCAGAAGAAAACACAGGAACUGGCUUUUGCCACCCACCAAGACCCUGCAGACCCCAAGAUGCUGCAGAUGGUGCUGCAGGGAUCAGUAGGUACCACAGUGAAUCAGGGACCACUAGAAGUUGCACAAGUUUUCUUGUCUGAAAUCCCCAAUGAUCCAAAGCUCUUCAGACACCACAACAAACUCCGCCUGUGUUUCAAGGACUUCACAAAAAGGUGUGAGGAUGCCCUGAGGAAGAACAAGAGCCUGAUCGGGCCGGACCAGAAGGAAUAUCAGCGGGAGCUGGAGCGCAACUACCACCGGCUCAAGGAGGCUCUGCAGCCCCUGAUCAACAGGAAGAUCCCCCAGCUCUACAAGGCAGUGCUGCCUGUCACGUGCCACAGAGACUCCUUCAGCAGGAUGAGCCUUCGCAAAAUGGAAAUCUAAACGAGUUAAAAACCAAAAUAAAAAACAAAAAAAGCACUUAAAAAUUAAGGUUUUGAAAAGAAAAAGAGCCUUGUUAUCAGCGCUGGGAAUCAAAGAAGUUUUAUUGUGAAAUAAAACUUGGACUUCAUCCUGGACAUCCCACACACCUCUUCCUCCAUCAAAGUGUUCAGUGGCCAAAAAAAAUCAUUCUGAAUUGUCAAAUGUAGACUUCUCAAUGUUUGAAAAGAAAAAAAACCAAACCAUCAUGGCAGUGGUAUCCAGAGUAUUGGUGAUGAGCUGUAAACUUACCUGUUUUUUAAGGCAUUUUUAUGACUCAAAGGGCUCAGCAUCCUUGGGGAAAAGGUUCAGAGCAAGGUCAUUGGAGACUUCUCCCAUGCUCUGUUAUCCCAACAGCUCCACAUUGGAAGUGUUUUGUGUGCCAGGCUCUGAAAAGUUCCCUGGAACAGAAUAAUCCUGAAUCAGUUCUGUGUCAUGGGGUAGAACACAGGAACACCUGCAUGGAUUUUCCUGCACAAAGAGAACUCCAACCUUUUUAUGGAUAUUCCAUGGGAUGUUGACAAGGCCUUGGAGGUGCUACAGGAGUCAGGGAAGCUCAGAAUGGAAAAUAUUAAGGAAGGAGGGAACAGCUUUGGAAGAGAUUUACAGGAAGAGGCAUUGAAAAUAUUUACAGAGUGCAAACAAAUCCCAGGAGCCAUGGAAGGAUGAAACUUUAAUUUAUAACAGUCCUGCUCCAGGACAGGAGUUACAAACAACAAGUUCAGGGUGCUUGAGUGAAUAUCCCAAAAAUCCAGCCCCAGUCCCUCUCCCUGUGCCAGAGGAGGGGUUUUCAUUCAGCAUCUUCCAGCUGAGGCUGUUUUCUCUUCAGCUGCCACAAAGAAUCUCCUCCCAAGCUGUACUGGGAUGAUGGAAGGCAGCUGGCUCUUCCUUACAUCCUAUUUUGGUGUAAAUAUUGGGAUUUUGUUUCCUUGGAACACUCCUGAUGCUGCAGUUGAAUGAAAAAGAUGAACCAGGUGUGCAAAAAUAAACUUUCAUUUGCAGGCUGAAAUUCAGCAAAACUAAAAAAUUGCAUUCUGUGGUAGGAUUGGGCUGCCCUUGCAAGGUAAGAUUAUUGAUAUUUUUGUAAUGUAGCUUUUUCUUGGUUUGGACUCUGAAAUUAUUUAUUAUUAUGAUGCAAUGCUUUGGAAAAGGGAAAGUGUAUUUUGUCAUUGCAGAUUUUUUAUGCUGCAAAAUCAAGGCCUGCUCAACAAUCAGAGGUCAAACUUAACAUGGAAAAUACACUAAAAGAGAUUUUUCCUGACUUACUUCAGUGUUUAUACAAAAUUAUAAUAAAAGGUAGCAAAAACUAAGUAUUGCAGAAUUAACUAGGCAGAGGUUUUUAGGGGUUUUCUUGUAAAUAAAUUAAUUUGUAGAUCCAGGGUGUACUGAGAGCCUGCAGUAACACCUGAUGUCAUUCCAUCCAUCCUGGGACAGACUGAACAAUCCUCUUUUUGUGAGUCAUAUUUGUUAAGAUUUUAAUUACCAGUUUGAAGGAGUCACCUACAAUUCUCUGACAGAAAAUUUGGGAUUUUCAUCUCUAGUAUUUAGUGCAAAUGGUUUUGGUUUUGCAGUCAAAAGUACCUUCAGGUUAGGAGAUGCUGUCCAAGAACCAGCUGAGAACCACAGAAUGUAUUCUAAAAGCACUUUAAUUCUUUAAGAUCAUUUCCCAGCCUUUUUGUAACUGUUCCCAAAUCCUUUCCCCUCUCCAAACACAACAGGCUGAGCUGCUUGUCUCAGAUGCGGAUCAUAACUUUUUUAUUUUGUAUGUACAUUCUUAACAAAGCAUCAAAGCCCAAUGUUCUCCUUUCCCCACCUUUCAGUGAGCUCCAGGUACAAAUUAACUUCACUCAGGUCACCACUAAGUUCCCAACCACCCCAAACAGAGAUGCAGAUUUGAGGGCUUCACUCUUCAAAGUACAAAAUUAUUUUAAUUACACUCCACUCUGCCUCUGGGUUGAAGGAUUAAUCACACCUAUUUACACUUUGCUCAUUAACACCUAUGCACCAAGAUGCAAAUUAGACCAAUCAAACACUUCCAUCAAUUCAGUUCCCUCCAAUGCUCUGGACAAGCUUCCCAGACCCUUUUCAAGUUGAAAGGAGCAGGGAAGAACUGGAGCAGGAGAAUAAACCACGUCCAUUACCCAAAGACUAAAUAUGAAGUGUUACUUCCCAAGUUACAAAAAUACACAACUUCUGAUGAAAUUUGCUAGUUAAUAUACAUUUACUCCAGGGUAUGAAUACAAAUAACUUUUUUUAAAAAAAAAAAAAAGAAAAAGACACAAAAAAAAAAAAGAAAA